CCCUCCUCGCCCCGCCCGCGGGCACCAGGCCGCGGCGGCUCGCACUGCUUCCCAGGCCUUACAGAUCGUCAGGUUCAGUCGAGAACUACUUCCAAGGUGUUUUCAGGCCGGCGGGACAAGGCCUGCAGGGAUGCCUGCCCCAGCUCCAAGGUUGCAAGGCUAAAAAGGAUGACCCUUGUAAGCUUCCAGGUCAGGUGAGCUGCUGAAGCAGGCAGGCACGCUGCUUACAGAAUACUUAAGGCACAUGCUCUCAUUUUCCAAAUGUUUAAAGCUUCAUUAAUGAAUCAGUAAGCCUUGAUAGCCACCUGUCAGAUUUGCCUUUGUUCUCCAUGUCCAGAGCAAUGCAGACCUUGCAAAUAUUAUUUAUCAGCCUACCCUUAAGUUGUACUUUUACAGUGGACUGCUGUCCAUACAGGGUAUUAAAAUAAAAUAUCCUUGCAGUA